GAGGGGGACCUUCGGGCCUCUUGCCAUCAGAUGUGCCCAGAUGGGAUUAGCUUGUUGGUGAGGUAACGGCUCACCAAGGCGACGAUCCCUAGCUGGUCUGAGAGGAUGACCAGCCACACUGGAACUGAGACACGGUCCAGACUCCUACGGGAGGCAGCAGUGGGGAAUAUUGCACAAUGGGCGCAAGCCUGAUGCAGCCAUGCCGCGUGUAUGAAGAAGGCCUUCGGGUUGUAAAGUACUUUCAGCGGGGAGGAAGGUGUUGUGGUUAAUAACCGCAGCAAUUGACGUUACCCGCAGAAGAAGCACCGGCUAACUCCGUGCCAGCAGCCGCGGUAAUACGGAGGGUGCAAGCGUUAAUCGGAAUUACUGGGCGUAAAGCGCACGCAGGCGGUCUGUCAAGUCGGAUGUGAAAUCCCCGGGCUCAACCUGGGAACUGCAUUCGAAACUGGCAGGCUUGAGUCUUGUAGAGGGGGGUAGAAUUCCAGGUGUAGCGGUGAAAUGCGUAGAGAUCUGGAGGAAUACCGGUGGCGAAGGCGGCCCCCUGGACAAA
rnacentral:rRNA from 1 species